rnacentral:rRNA from 1 species
UUAAAAAGGGGGGCUUCGCGCCCCAGGGGUUCACGCCCCGCACCUUUUCACCCGGUGUCCAUCUUCCAUUGUUGCUUUGGCGAGCCCCGGGGGCUUUCCCCCGGCGCGGGUCCCCUAACGGAGUCCCGCGAGCGCCCGUCGGAGGUCCAUCUAAAAUCUGGGUUAUCAGUGGAGUCUGGUCAAAUGCAUAAUUGGAAACAAAACUUUCAACAACGGAUCUCUUGGUUCUGGCAUCGAUGAAGAACGCAGCGAAAUGCGAUAAGUAAUGUGAAUUGCAGAAUUCAGUGAAUCAUCGAAUCUUUGAACGCACAUUGCGCCCCUCGGAACCCCGAGGGGCAUGCCUGUUCGAGCGUCAUUAAACUCUCAAGCGUGGCUUGGUAUUGGGUGCUCGCUCCUCCGGGUUUGGGGGAGCGCGCCCGAAAUUUAGUGGCGGUCUGGGGAGACUUCAAGCGCAGUUAAUACUCAUUCGCUUUCGGAGCUUUCGACCUGUGGCCCAGCCAGCAACAUGCCUUAAUUCUAAGAAUUGACCUCGGAUCAGGUAGGGAUACCCGCUGAACUUAAGCAUAUCA